rnacentral:rRNA from 1 species
CCUACGGGUGGCAGCAGUGGGGAAUAUUGCUCAAUGGGGGAAACCCUGAUGCAGCGAAGCCGCGUGAGUGAAGAAGUAUCUCGGUAUGUUAAGCUCUAUCUGCCGGGGAGAAAAUGCCGGUACCUGAUUACGAAGCCCCGGAUCACUACGUGCCAGCAGCCGCGGUAAUACGUAGGGGGCAAGCGUUAUCCGGAUUUACUGGGGGUAAAGGGAGCGUAGACGGCAGCACAAGUCUGGAGUGAAAGGCCGGGGCUUAACCCCGGAACUGCUGUGGAAACUGUGCAGCUAGAGUGCAGGAGAGGUAAGUGGAAUGCCUGGUGUAGCGGUGAAAUGCGUAGAUAUUAGGAGGAACACCAGUUGCGAAGGCGGCUUACUGGACUGUAACUGACGUUGAGGCUCGAAAGCGUGGGUAGCAAACAGGAUUAGAUACCCCAGUAGUC